ensembl:lncRNA
CAAUUACAAAAUUAUAAUAAACGUAAUAGUAAUGUUACAAUAAGCACUAAUCUGCAAAAUAUAUUAAAAAAUGAUAAGAUAUGUAAUAUAGAGAAAAAACAAAUGGACUAUAAUAAAAAAAUAUAUACUAAAGAUUUUAAUACGUAUAACAAUAAUAGUUAUAAAUGUACAACAGAUACUAAUCACAUGCUUGAUCGGUGUAUGAAUAUGAUUUUAUAUCACUAUCAAUUAUUAUACAUAUUGUAUAAAUUAAAGCAAAUAUAUACCUUUUCAUUUUCUUUUGUCAAAAGUUGUAUAAACUUUAUUUUUCAACAUUGGAUAUAUGUAAAAGCUAAACUUAUUACUAAUAUUCAUUCGAAAAAAAGUGUUACUUAUUUAUAUAAUAAAAUAAUGUAUCUUCUUGUUUUCUCAAAAGUGGAAAUAGAACAAAAGAAAAAUAUACAUAUGUGCGGAAUAGAGGACUACGUGGUUGGCAUGGAUACCGCUGAUGCUGUAGGUACCUUGUCUGUAACAGCAGAUAAAACGGCAGAUAAAACGGCAGAUAUAACGGCAGAUAAAACGGCAGAUAAAAUAGAACACGAAAUAAGAAAGACAAACGAUACAACACACUUAGGUAUUAAAAACGAGAUAGAAACAAAAGAUAUCAAAAACAAUAACACGACCAUCUUUGCAAAUAAGAACAGUGAUAAUUACACUCGGGGGGGCAAUAAAACCAAAGAGGAUUAUAACGAACAAACUUACAGGUUAUAUGAUUAUCUUUUAAAUAGCCUUACUUAUUAUUUUGAUUACACAACAAAAAAUAAUUAUAACAUUAUACAGAAAAAUGAUUCCUAUGUUGUUACAAGUGACGUUAAAAAUGAUAUUAUUACACAUGACAUAGUUAAACCAACUAUCAGUUAUUUUCCUUUUUUUGUUCAACUCUUAUAUAAUAAAGAUAUUAUUAAUCACUAUAACUUAACAAUAAUCGUUUAUAACAAAAUGAAUUUGAAAAAAAUUGGUUAUUGUUUUGAUCUUAUUUGGGAACAAAUUAAGAAUAGGAUAGUAGUACAACAUGGCCAUCCAAACGAACCCACUAAACUGUUGCUAAAUGACAUCAACGGGGUUGUUUCAAAAUAUGUUAAGAAAAAUUGUUUUAUAAUAAAAACUAUUCCAAGUAAUAAAAAGUCCAAACUGUACAGAAACGUCAUGAAAGGUGUAUUUACGAAAGUAUUUCCUCGAUUUCGUAACGAAGAAAAAAAACGUAGUAAUAUUAAUCAAAUAUAUAAAAAGGACCAUAAUCAAUUAAAAAACAUAUUUAUGCAUUCUAAAUUUAUGAACUUUGAAAGUUGUGAUACAUACGAAAAAAAUAUUAUUCAUAUUUUUACAUCUAUGAUUAGUAAUUAUAUGAAAUAUAUAGAAAAAGAAACUAAUUCAAAAAAAGCAAUAAAAGCAAACAAAAAGGUAAUAGUACAUAAAAAAGUAAACGAAAGUGAAAAGAAAAAGAAAAAACAUAAUUUAAGAUUGAGCGAAAAUAAAAACGACAACACAAAAGUGUUUAUAAAUAUAAUGAAUAAACAAAAAACACAUAUGAAUCCACAAGUAGUAGGAAUAAAAAUAAAUCUUAAGCAAAUCGAUUUGUCCAAGUUACUUACAUAUAUACACAUGUACGGUCCGAAAAACUAUAUGCAAACAAAUAAAAAUAUACAGAAAUUGUGUUUUACAUUAAACGAAAUAAAACAUAUCAUAAAUAAUAGCCGAUAUAUAAAAACUGUGGUACAAUCUGAUAAAGCAAUAGUAAGAAAACGUAUAGAAACUAAAAAAGCGAAUAAUACUACAAGUAAGGAUACUACUUCGACUGCGAGUGCUGCUGGUGCAACAGAAACUACAACUGCUAAUACCAUUACUAGUAGUAACAACCAUGAUGAGGACGAUGUUAAUGGUAACAAUAGUAUAAAAAUUUUAAAAGAAAUAAAACAAACAGAAGAAAAAAAUAGUAAAUUAGUUAAUGAAGUAUAUGACAUUAUUAGCGAAUACGAUGAAACAAGUUCUGAACACAAUUCGGUGAAAAUAGAAAAACCAUAUUCUUUAAUAAUUCAAAAGAAAGAACAGGACAAGUCAAAAGGUAGGAACGGUAAUAGCAACAGCAGCAAUAGCAGCAGCAGUAGCAACGGUAAUAAUAUGAUAAAAAAGGAUGAUAAUAUAAAAAAUGUUAAAGAACAUAAAUUAUACUACAUAGAAGAAUUCAGUCCUGAGCUAAAAAAAAACAUGCCCUUUAGUGCUAAUGAUAAUAAUUGUGUAAGGGCUGAAAAAAUAGAAGAGAAAACAAAAAAUCCAAGAGGACACGCAUUAUUAACAUUGGUAGAUAAAGUAAAAACAAUUGAAAACAAAAAUAACCAUGUGAUUUCAAAAUUAAAAGAUGUUAUUAAAGUAACAAAUAAUAAAACAAAAAUUAUCUAUCACAUUUUGUCCAAUUUUAAAAUAUUACAAAAUACUAUUAGUCUUUUAUUAAAAUAUAUUAUGAUAAAUGAAAAGAAUAUGAAAGACUUAAAUGAAAACAUGAAAAAAGUAAACCUCUUUUUUAAAUUUAUUAAAAAUAUAUGUAUUGUACAAUUUAACGAACCAAAUGAAAAUGAUACUCUUGAACUAUUUAAAAGUUUAUGUAAUGAGUUUAAAGAUUUGUUAUUUGAUAAAUAUGAACAAAAAAUAUAUUUUGACACCACUAAUAGAAAACAUUAUCCUUUAUGUGAUAACAAUAAUACAAAAAAUAACACUGCUAAUAUAUAUCCUGACCAACCUAUAAAUUUACAUUGG